rnacentral:sRNA from 1 species
UCCUUCCUGCUGCAGCAGCAGCUGCUGCUGCUGCUGCUGUAGCUGCUGUUGUGGCUGCAGCCGCUGCUGCUGUAAAUGCAGCUGCUGCUGCUGUAGCUGCACCUGCUGCUGCUGUGGCUCCAGCAGCUGCUGCUGUAGCUGCAGCUGCUGCUGUAGUUGCUGCUGGAGUCACUGCAGCAGCUGCUGCUGCUGUAGUUGCUGCUGGAGUCAUUGCAGCAGCAGCUGCAGCAGCAGCUACAGCUCCUGCACUUAAGGCGUGCUGCUUUU